rnacentral:rRNA from 1 species
GAGUUUGAUCCUGGCUCAGAACGAACGCUGGCGGCAGGCCUAACACAUGCAGGUCGAGCGCACCUUCGGGUGAGCGGCGGACGGGUUAGUAACGCGUGGGAACGUACCCAGAUCUAAGGAAUAGCCACUGGAAACGGUGAGUAAUACCUUAUACGCCCUUCGGGGGAAAGAUUUAUCGGAUUUGGAUCGGCCCGCGUUAGAUUAGGUAGUUGGUGGGGUAAUGGCCUACCAAGCCUACGAUCUAUAGCUGGUUUUAGAGGAUGAUCAGCAACACUGGGACUGAGACACGGCCCAGACUCCUACGGGAGGCAGCAGUGGGGAAUCUUAGACAAUGGGGGCAACCCUGAUCUAGCCAUGCCGCGUGAGUGAAGAAGGUCUUAGGAUCGUAAAGCUCUUUCGCCAGGGGUGAUAAUGACAGUACCUGGUAAAGAAACCCCGGCUAACUCCGUGCCAGCAGCCGCGGUAAUACGGAGGGGGUUAGCGUUGUUCGGAAUUACUGGGCGUAAAGCGCGCGUAGGCGGAUCAGAAAGUUGGGGGUGAAAUCCCAGGGCUCAACCCUGGAACUGCCUCCAAAACUCCUGGUCUUGAGUUCGAGAGAGGUGAGUGGAGCUCCGAGUGUAGAGGUGAAAUUCGUAGAUAUUCGGAAGAACACCAGUGGCGAAGGCGGCUCACUGGCUCGAUACUGACGCUGAGGUGCGAAAGUGUGGGGAGCAAACAGGAUUAGAUACCCUGGUAGUCCACACCGUAAACGAUGAAUGCCAGUCGUCGGGUAGUAUACUAUUCGGUGACACACCUAACGGAUUAAGCAUUCCGCCUGGGGAGUACGGUCGCAAGAUUAAAACUCAAGGAAUUGA